UACGUAGGUGGCGAGCGUUGUCCGGAAUUACUGGGUGUAAAGGGCGUGUAGGCGGGAUUGUAAGUCAGAUGUGAAAUUCCAGAGCUUAACUCUGGCGCUGCAUCUGAAACUGCGAUUCUUGAGUGCUGGAGAGGAUAGUGGAAUUCCUAGUGUAGCGGUGAAAUGCGUAGAUAUUAGGAGGAACACCAGUGGCGAAGGCGGCUAUCUGGACAGUAACUGACGCUGAGGCGCGAAAGCGUGGGGAGCAAACAGG
rnacentral:rRNA from 1 species